rnacentral:rRNA from 1 species
UACGUAGGGACCAAGCGUUGUUCGGAUUUACUGGGCGUAAAGGGCGCGUAGGCGGCGCGGUAAGUCACUUGUGAAAUCUCUGAGCUUAACUCAGAACGGCCAAGUGAUACUGCAGUGCUAGAGUGUGGAAGGGGCAACGGAAUUCUUGGUGUAGCGGUGAAAUGCGUAGAUAUCAAGAGGAACACCUGAGGUGAAGACGGGUUGCUGGGCCAACACUGACGCUGAGGCGCGAAAGCCAGGGGAGCAAACGGG